GAUGAACGCUGGCGGCGUGCCUAAUACAUGCAAGUCGAGCGAACAGACGCGGAGCUUGCUCCUCUGACGUUAGCGGCGGACGGGUGAGUAACACGUGGAUAACCUACCUAUAAUACUGGGAUAACUUCGGGAAACCGGAGCUAAUACCGGAUAAUAUAUUGAACCGCAUGGUUCAAUAGUGAAAGACGGUUUUGCUGUCACUUCUAGAUGGAUCCGCGCCGCAUUAGCUAGUUGGUAAGGUAACGGCUUACCAAGGCGACGAUGCGUAGCCGACCUGAGAGAGUGGUCGGCCACACGAGAACUGAGACACGGACCAGACGCCUGCGGGAGGGAGCAGUAGGGAAUCUGCCGCAAUGGGCGAAAGCAUGACGGAGCAACGCCGCGUGAGUGAUGAAGGUCUUCGGAGCGUAAAACUCUGUUAUUAGGGAAGAACAAAUGUGUAAGUAACUAUGCACGUCUUGACGGUACCUAAUCAGAAAGCCACGGCUAACUACGUG
rnacentral:rRNA from 1 species